rnacentral:tRNA from 1 species
AAUAUAGCUCAGUGGUAGAGCACUUGCCUACCAUGCAGAAGGUCCUAGGUUCAAUCCCUAGUGUU